rnacentral:lncRNA from 1 species
CCAUGUCUCGCCGUGACGUCACGCGCCGUAUCCCGAGCCCGAGCGCUCCCCUGAGCGCGUGGUCCCGGUCGCGAGCACAUGGAAGUGAGGUCGAGAUUUUGUGUCUGUGAGACGCGCGACUGAUCAUCAUGUGGGUGAAAGAAUGAAAAGGGAAUAUAAAAAAGCGAUAAAGCAGCGACGGAGACCGAGAGAACAGCGCGUUGGUGAAAGUGUGAAAGCUGCCAGCCUCCAAAAUAAACCACCAGAGGGACGGGUGGUGUUGCAGACCCUCAUGCAGACCCAGGUCUUACUGCGGCUGCCGCUCUCAUAGACGACUGAAGAUACUGAACUGAAUGGGAAGGAUGCAAAGGUGGAAGCAGUCAGUCUUGGAUUCGGUUUCACUGAGUCUUAAUGGAACACACACGCUCGAACACACACACAUACUGCAUGUUUUUUAAUACUAUCUACUUCCCCCUUUCUUUCAGAGGACAUAGAUACACCCUGAAUGGGCCUCUGUGGUGAUCUACACUGUGGUUGGGAAGUACCUAGUGUUACAACUGUCAUGCUGGUCUGCUUAAAGGGACAGCGAUGAUCACUUUUACACGCAGUACGUUUUGUUUUCAGAGCUUUGAAAAAUCCAUAUAGUUGGAUGUUUCAGUUUUCGCCUUAAUAGUGAGUGAGCAGUUUCUCUGUGCAGAGUUUAGAAAUCAAACAGGGUCUUUUCUGUGUUAAAUUGCAGUUUCUAAAUGGUCAGGACAUCACUUGAAAUGCAGAAAGACUUAAUGGAGACUUCUCAGACUUCUUUCUUCAAUAAAGACAUAAAUUCAAUAGAUUUAAAGGCGUCGCCUCUUCUAUAGAGUCCAUCUUCAUACUCACACAAAAAAACAGAAGUCUAUUCAACUUUUUACCAGUUGACUAAUCUAUAAUUGCUGGGGUCAUGAAACUAUACUUCCAGAAUACACUGAGAAUUUGUGAUAUUGUGUAAAUGAAAUCUAACCACAAUGAGGUGAAAGAGGAAUGGAAUUUGUUUUGCAAUCGUUUCUAAAAAACCACAUAGAUUUUUACUUGCAUAUUCUGUUUGCAUGUUGUAGGUAUUUUCUGUUUCACUUUACACUUUUGAAUGUUUUGACAAAGCUUGUCUGAAUAAAUAUUUCUCUCUGACAGAUGUUUACUAAGCGUGUGUUUUUCUUGGACUCCGACAAGUGAGUGAAGCGUGCUCAUUACACUGAAGCCGGUCCUAAGUGUUCUGCAUCACCGCCUCUCAGUUUACAGCUGCAGAGAGUGAGAUCUUAGGCAAACACCGUAUCCGUGCUAAUUACGAAAUCCUAACCACAACAUGGAGAGCUAUUUGAGAGCUUCAUAGACAAGGUGCCGUCCUGCAGAA